rnacentral:misc_RNA from 1 species
UAAUAAGUGUUUUAUGGCACCUUUUAAAUCCAUAUCCACCUUGUGUGCAAUGUCGGUCGAUCUUCUUCAUGGAGAUCGACCAAACAUCAACCUUUAUCUUUUAACUCUUUGUCUGAAAAAUAUUAUGAAUAAACAAUUCAAAAUA